rnacentral:lncRNA from 1 species
GAAAAGGCUGGGGGUUGGGCCAGGGAGGAGAAGAGCGAGGGUUAGGGCUGGGGGGCUCGGUGGGGAUGAGGAGGGGACAUGGGGGCGAGGAGGGGCAUCCAGCCGCACACCCCCGCUGCUGUCACCCCAAAGCCAGUCUCAGCCCCCCGGGAUGCCCCCCCCACAAUCUCAGAGCCCCCCAGGUGCAGCCCCGUACCAGGCGGACGUUUGGGGCGCCCCUGCCCAAACUCCCCGCUGCCUGCCCAGGGGCUCUCGGAGCAGAAGGAGCCCCCGAAGGCACGGCCCGAGGCGAGACGCAGGCAGAGGGGGGCUGGAGGUCACCCCAUCGCUGGGGGUGUCCCCAAAACGCCAGAGCCCGGUGUUCGUGGGGAGCGAGAGGAUCAGGCACCGGGCUGGGGGAGAAACUGCAGGGAGGACAGCGGCACUGAGAGAAACCAAGCAGAGGAAAGCCUGAACAAAGGUACUUCCCCAAGUAAGCUCAGGUGAAAAAAACAACUUUUUCUAGCAAGUAGUGGAGGGAACAAAGUGCGCCAGAUCCUUGAUGCCAGCUGCUGACUUCAGGGCACUAGAUGUAGCAGACGUGGAGACACAGAUGUGCGAGAAGAGGAAGAACACAUGUCAUGGUGCAGAGAAACUUCUGCUUAGGCAACAAAACUGAGUGCUUCAGGCUGUGGUGCAAGGUAGAGAGAGCUGCAGUCCUCAUAUCCCUGCAAGGGCUGCAGGGUGCAGACAUGGUUCGUCCGUUCUGGGCUUCCCCCCAUGGAUAAACUCCUUUGCUGGGGAUAAAUACCUGCAUCUUACCUGGAUGCUGCCUGCAAGCUCUUGGGCUAGUGGCCACCUUUCCAUGGGCUAUCACAGCAGCGUAUUUGUCUGCAUCCCUCGUCCUGGCUCCCCCUGUACCUAUAAACUGCAGCGUUUGUAGGUACAGAUCAUGGCACGUACCGACAGUUACCUGCUGCUCGCCCCACACCACGAAUGCAGUGUUCGGUGCUGUCAGCAGAGCCGGCGUUCCCAUGCCGUGAAUGCGCUCGUCUCCAAAAAGCUUAGAGCAGCAGAAAAGACUUCUGUUCCCUAAGCCAGCGUAGUAGAGCUGUGUAUUUUUUUUAUGCUAAAUUAAAAUAAACAGCGCUGCACUCAACA